GUCUCUGUGAUAUAGCGGGUAGGACAGUCGCCUUGAAAGCGACAGACUCGGGUUCGAUUCCCGACGGAGACU